rnacentral:rRNA from 1 species
UACAGAGACUGCGAGCGUUAUUCGGAUUCACUGGGCGUAAAGGGUGCGCAGGCGGCCGAGUGUGUGAGGCGUGAAAGCCCCGGGCUCAACCUGGGAAUGGCAGUGGAAACUAGGGGACUGGAAUCUGGCAGAGGGGGGGUGGAAUGCCGCGUGUAGCAGUGAAAUGCGUAGAGAUGCGGCGGAACACCGAUGGCGAAGGCAGCCCCCUGGGCUGAGAUUGACGCUCAGGCACGAAAGCGUGGGGAGCAAACAGG